rnacentral:rRNA from 1 species
CCUACGGGUGGCUGCAGUGGGGAAUAUUGGACAAUGGGCGAAAGCCUGAUCCAGCCAUGCCGCGUGUGUGAAGAAGGCCUUCGGGUUGUAAAGCACUUUCAGUGGGGAAGAAAGCCUUGGGGCUAAUACCCUCGAGGAAGGACAUCACCCACAGAAGAAGCACCGGCUAACUCCGUGCCAGCAGCCGCGGUAAUACGGAGGGUGCGAGCGUUAAUCGGAAUUACUGGGCGUAAAGCGCGCGUAGGCGGUCUGAUAAGCCGGUUGUGAAAGCCCCGGGCUCAACCUGGGAACGGCAUCCGGAACUGUCAGGCUAGAGUGCAGGAGAGGAAGGUAGAAUUCCCGGUGUAGCGGUGAAAUGCGUAGAGAUCGGGAGGAAUACCAGUGGCGAAGGCGGCCUUCUGGACUGACACUGACGCUGAGGUGCGAAAGCGUGGGUAGCAAACAGGAUUAGAUACCCGAGUGGUC